rnacentral:rRNA from 1 species
UGGGGAAUUUUUUGCAGUGGGCGGAAGCCGGACGGAGCAAUGCCGCAUGGAGGUGGAAGGCCUACGGGUCGUCAACUUCUUUUUCUUGGAGAAGAAACAAUGACGGUAUCUGAGGAAUAAGCAUCGGCUAACUCUGUGCCAG